AUUCACAGCUGCACUCGAUUUUACACUCCAGUUUAAAUAAAUUAACCCAUUGUGGCCAUCAAGUGAUUUUGGGGCCACAAUUACUAACAUGCAUAGUCAGGGAUUUUUAAAAUAAUAAUAUUUCAUCAGCUAAACUGUCCAAAGCUGGUUGGAGUACUUGAGAGCAGUCAUAAUGAUGAUAUAAUGACAUAACAGUUUUAACUUCACAACUUUGCAUUCUCAUAAAAUUUCAUAAAAACUUGUGCAACACUUCCAUGCUUACAUCUGCAAUGUUAAUUGGCUGGUGUUUCCCACUAGAAGCUCCAACCAAUCAGCACCUUUAACUGGGCAGUCAUUCCAAGGCUAACAUUUCCCAGAUGUGUUGCUAGCCUUCCUAUAGCAACCCAUUAGUUGCCAACGUGGGCUGUGUUGUACAGGCCUAAUCCAGCCUCAUGAAUCAAUGAGAGCAAGCCAAGAACCUCCAAGCAGUGGUGGCAUCUGAAUUGCUCUGUGAAAACAGCUGAUCGGUAAGAGCCUCUUUUUAUAUUUCCCUUAUUUAUAUUGCGUUCACAUAUUAUACAGCACGUUACAGAGUACAAAGAGCUGUUUACACCAGUCCCAGUUCUAAAGGAACACUCACUUUAUCAUCUACACUCUAAGUGGGGUUAAUGUGGAAGGAAUCCAAUUCACUUUACACUAUGUUUUUAGAUUGUGGGAGGAAAACUAAAGCCCCCCAAGGUUCAAAGAGCAAACAUAUAACUCCAUACAGAUCUCAAGCUGCAGAUAUCGACCCAGAGCUAUAAGAUCGACACUAUGAAGUUUCCACCUUUCAAUGUGAAAAGUGGAAAUCUCUGUAGAGUAAAAUGUUCCCAUGAAAAGUGGGGUUCGCCAUUGUUGAUCUUUGAAAAAAGCUAGUUGCCUGGCUGUUAUGAUGAUCCUCUGACUUCAGUAUUUUCUGAGUCAGGAACAUUACAGUAGAGACAAAAAAACGACUUAUCGGUAUUAAUGAGUAUUGAGCCCAGAGAGUCAGCAUGACAUCCAGGUAGCUGUCACUCAUAGAAAGAGAAGUCUGCAGUAGCAGCUUACAUGUUUCUUUCAAGAAAACCUUCCUAUAAAUCUACUCCUAAGGAUGCAUUUUUGGUGAAAUCUAUUGAAAUUGCAGCCACACGUCUUAUACCAUGCUUACUUGUAUCUCAUACCUUUUUUUAAUUUGCAAAAAUCAUGUGCACAUCUUUUUUGGUUAUCACUUUCUUUAGCCCCUUUCUUCCUUGAAAUGCCUUUAUCUGAUGAGAAUAAACUCACUCCCAUAAUGCAUUGAGGCUUUCUCUUUCCUGGCUGUCUUGAAUCAAACUCUCACUUUAAAAGUACAGGGUUUUAUAUUGCUUAAGUGUAAUGAAUUCAGAAGCCUAUUUGUCUCCUGACUUAGCACUUCAGACAGAUUUUUUUUGUAUUUCUUUGAGUAUAAACCCUAGGCUGCAUCACCAAAAGGAAACACGUGUCCAGCCAGAUGUUGUAGAUAUAAAAACUCCCAGUGGAUCUUUCAGGGCAUGCUAGGAGCUCCUGUGUUCUGGGUUUCUUUGAAUGUUUGUCAGAAAUGGUUUGGCAGGGGGAGAGUUAAAACUUUUAACUUGCAAAGACACCUUCAGCCCUGAGAACUUGGAUUGAUCCACAACAAAUACAUUUUGUUAGAUAGGCUGCCAGUGGUGUUAACCCCUUCCUGGCUGGGUAGUACUGCUGUUCCGCAUUAAACAGACGCACAAAGAGACAACUUAUAUAAAGAGAAGACAUGCAUUCCAGCUUGUUAAAAGGACAUUCUGGCUGAUGCCAUGUUGUUUUUAAACAAUGCAAAAGUGCAGACAUUAGCGAUUUAUACUGUAAACAUUAGAUUAAUGUAACUUUCAUCAGCUGCAAUGGGAAGUUCAUACAAGGCACCAUUUUUUUAUGGCUAUCUGCAGCCUUGAACCCAUCUUCGGCCGCCACUGCCAAAUCUGCCUUUAUAUCACUUCUGCUGUCCAGCAGCUACUGGCUACUGACACAAUGCUGUCUGUGAGAGUUCAUUGACCAGCAAAUACCAGGUGUGUAUAGGGCUUUUUUUUUUACUGGUUAAUAGUUGUAAAGCUAAUAUUAGUCAGAGGUAGAUCUCUGAAUGACUGGUAAUCAGUUAUGUGCCACUCUCAAGUUGCUUGCUGACCAGUGGCAGAAGAAACAGAAACCAUGUAUCUGCAUGAACUUCCCCCUUUAUUUGUUUGCAUAUAAAUAAGUUCAAAGGGGAGAUGAAAAAAAAAAGAGGUAAAAUACAACAAAUCUUUAAUAUCUGCAGGGGCAAUUUGACCAAUUAUCUGUCUAGAAACACCCAAAAUGCCUGCCUAGGCACUAAUUGGGCAUUCUGGAUUUUGUGUUUUUUUUUUUUUUUUUUCUGUAGUUGGGGAGCUCUCGUUGCAGGUGCUGUUGUCUUGACAUCAGUUAUGUAUGAUUGAAUUUUUUUUUUCUGAAGAGUGAGUACAUGUGCAAAUCAUGGAUUUUUGUACCUUUGCUGCCCUUUGAUUAUCAGAAAAAUAAAUAUUCAAUGGUUUUAUUUUUUUUAUUGAGGCUGAAGCUGAAUACUCUUCCCCAAGAAGAUUUCCCCAAGAACAGAGCUUUCCUUUCAUUUGUUUCCAAUUGUUUAUAGACUGUGUAUUGUGUCCUGCUGCUACAAUAUUCUAUAAAUUAAAGGCAACAAGUGAAUCAGACCCUUCAUAUUGCCAAGGUAAGUUUCCAAAGCCAGGAACUCUCAUGCACAGACAGCUCUCUGUAGGAGUCCCUAAAAUACACUGGCAGGUUAAUUGAGCCUAUCAUUAUCUAUCCAAAAGUGGGAUAUCACUUUUUUGUGGAUGUAGUCUUUCAAUGGGCAAUGUCUGAGAAUUAAACCGUUUGAUUUGGUUGUGCUUCUCAUUCUAGACCUUAUGCUUACUUUGCUGACUAAUCCAUGUAUACUGUGUGCACCCGAGCACCAUUUAACUUUGCGGACUGUUACCUUUCUGACUGUUACCAUGGCAACAACAUCUCUUGUGUCGCGAGGAGGGAGCCUAGCAUCGGAUUAGUGUCUGCCGUCUAUUGUGUUUCUGUGCUCUUUUGAUAUAUGUGGAUAUGAGUGAUUGAGCCUAUAAUAAAACAAAUGUAAAAUAUUUAGAUAUGUUGAACCCCCUUAGGUGGGAUGCAUAUUAAAUUAUUUUUUUUAUAUUCAAAGAGUGGAUUUAAAGGGGUCAAGAAACGUCAGCUGCAAAGUGGAUUAUUAAGAAUAAAGAUUUGAUUAACAUUAAAAGGUUUCUGGACAAACUUGUGUGUCUUCUUGCCAUUACUUCCUCAUGGGUUGCCAAAGUGACCCUGGAAACCUGCUUGGCAUUGAGGAAGAAGUUGUGUGAAGUGGUGAUGCCUGAGCCAAAGGAAGAGAUGUGGGAAGCAAUUGCAGACGAGUUUUGGGAGAAGAUGCAGUUUCCCAUUUGCAUAGGAGCCCUCGACAUCAAGCAUAUCAUGUUGAAAAAGCCUUCCCAGUCCGUUUCUCUGUACUUCAAUUACAAAAAAUGAUUUUUCCAUCAUCAUCUUAGCAUUGUCUGAUGCAAGCAAGCCUCCACUUCAUAGGUGUGGCUGUCGGAGCCUACAGCCGCCAAGGGGAUGCAGGCAUCUUCAGAGAGUCUGCCAUGGAACAUCACCUAUAUGAAGGACACGUCAACAUUUCUCCACCCAGGCCUAAACCAUGCACAGCAGAGUCUUCCAAUCGUGUUCAUGGUGGAUUAGACUUUUGGACUGGUUGAGAAUCGAAUGCGGCCAUGAAGUGGUUACAGAAUAAGCCACAAGCAGAACAUUUUUAAAUAUCAUCUCAGCCGGGUUGUUGAAUGCACAUUUGGCGUCUACACAACAAAGUGGCGACUACUCCUGUUGCAUGUAAAAAAAAGUGACUAGUCAUACCGGCCUGCUGUGUCUUUAAUAACUUUCUUUGUAAAAAAGAAGAGAUUAUGGACUUGCAUUCCACUGCCAGGGUCAUGACCAUUUGCAAGCAGUUUGUGGGUUUCUAUGUUUCACCUGAAGGUGAAGUGUCCUGGCAGGAUCAAUAUGUGUAAUGUCAUAUGUUGGCUUUACAUUUUCGCAGCUUACCAUCCUCCAAAUAAAAAAAUAUAUAUAUAUUUUUUU